GAAGGUAUAGUUCAGUGGUAGAGUGUGUGCUUAGUGUACAUGAGGUCCUGGGUUCAAUCCCCAGUACCUCCA
rnacentral:tRNA from 1 species